rnacentral:lncRNA from 1 species
ACGCAGCGAUGUUAAGGCGAUUUACAUAAGAUAUUUUCAGGGGCAGAUAACCCCGUAAGGACCUCAUUAUUUAUUCAUAUAUUCAUCAAUGGCGGAGGCUGCGUCUAUCGAUGAAAAUGUAUGAAAUCAAAUUACAUACAUGCCUGUUAACUAAAAACGGCUAUUAAUAUGAUGUAAUUUAUUUAUCGAAAUACAAAUAUUGUAUGUUUGUGCCUGGAUUAUUAUGAAAACAGUUACAAUAGCUGUUUUUCUUGGCGAGAUUGUCGGCUUUUGGACCCAUCGGAUCAACCAAUGAGAAGACGAUCGACGUCAAAUAGAUGUUUGCAGUUUCCAGAAUGGAAAGAAAUUACAGCGAAAAUUAUUUUCACUUCUACGUGAAAAUCUAGCCAGAAAAGUAAGUGUGAGCCACAAGACAUGUAUUUAUUAUGAAACAUAUGUUGCUUGUUGUGUUUCUCAUUCGCCCCAGAUGGCGAAAAACUGUAUACUAUUAGAUAAAAACGAGUCCAAUGAGGGCAAGCAUGACAUACACGUGGUCAAAACAAAACAAGACCGCAACAAAUAGCUGAAAUUUAAGUUAUAUUUCGAGUCUCGUCAAUAAAUGAACAAGAUAUCGAAUGAAACAAGUUCCCAGCAUUAUACCAAGGGCCCAUUCUCAUCGUUUACCCCGAAAUUCGUUUCUAAUUAUCGUUUCGCAGGUGUCCUGCCUACCUCAGUACCUGUCAUUAAUUUCCUGGUUGGGUACAUAUUGCUCUAAUCCAAAUAAUAAUGAUAUCGUGGAGCUAUUAAUUUGGAGCACAGGGGUGCAUACAUACAUGUACUUGCUCAAAAGGAACCUGAAACACGUAAUCUGGAGCUUAACAUAUGUUGUACCCCUCCCCUAGUCCAAAUAAUUAUGAGGGGGGAUAGGACCUUUAUCAGGACUCUGGGACCGGGUGUUUUUAGAUUGGGAUUUGGGGAUUGACCCUUUCAGGAUCCGGGAAUUCUUUUUUUCGAAUUUCCGGACCUCCAGAUUUUGUAUUUUUUAAGCCAGGGAUUUCGUGUUUUUAAGCUAUACAUGUAUAUAUCCCGUUAAACAGAAGGGAUGCUAUUGUUUCAGAAAAGGGAGAAGGUUUGGAUCCAUUAAAACGUUUAAUCCCGCUGGAAAUGUUUGCACCUGUCCUAAGUCAGGAAUCUGAUGUACAGUAGUUGUCGUUUGUUUAUGUAAUAUAUACGUGUUUCUCGUUUUGUUUAUAUAGAUUAGACCGUUGGUUUUCCCGUUUGAAUGGUUUUACACUAGUAAUUUUGGGGCCCUUUAUAGCUUGUUGUUCGGUGUGAGCCAAGGCUCUGUGUUGAAGGCUGUACUUUAAAAGAGGGACGAAAGAUACCAAAGGGACAGUCAAACUCGUAAAUCUAAAACAAACUGACAACGCCAUGGCUAAAAAUGAAAAAGACAAACAGAAAAACAAUAGUACACAUGACACAACAUAGAAAACUAAAGAAUAAACAACACGACCCCCACCAAAAACUAGGGGUGAUCUCAGGUGCUCCGGAAGGGUAAGCAGAUCCUGCUCCAGAUGCGGCACCCGUCGUGUUGCUUAUGUGAUUACAAAUCCAGUAAAUAGUCUAAUUUGGUAGGUCAAAUUCAUGAAAGAGAAGGGGAUUGUAGUUACGACGUAAGGAACAUAUCCGAUAUCAUUUGUGAAACGGUUAUUCCAUAACGGUCAACCAACUCGUGAUGGCGUCCGUAAAAUUUACGAAGGGAUGAUUUCAACUUCACCAUUAUAAUGGUUUACUUUUUAAAUUGUUAUUUGGAUGGAGAGUUGUCUCAUUGGCACUCACACCACAUCUUCCUAUAUCAAGUUAUAAAAUUUUCUUGGGGAGCCUGCUUGCAAGAAAGUUGUUUAAAUUCUUAACAGAGAAAGACAUUUCUUUGUAGGAACCUGUAGAUUAAGGGCGUCUCAUAUUCUUAUUGCUCUGAAAGUAAGUCUACCAUAAGCCGCUGAGACAAAAUAAAAUACAACACGAAAGUGUUCAUUUGUAACAGUUAUACAAACCAGGCAUCAGGAACACAAAUACCCCCCCCCCCUUUUUUUUUGUCCAGGUUUAGGAACCCCCCUUUUUAAAAUAACUGGAUCUGCCCCUGCCCAUUGGUGACAUUUUCCAUUUCCAUUCUCACAUUUCUAUAACAUAUAAUUUAUAUCUUGUUUUUGAGUACUACAUGCAGGGCUCACGAUACCAGGCGACUUGGGCGAAGAAGUCGCCCUCCCGACCGUCACUUCGCUUUCCCCGACCCCCAAAAGCGAAAACAAGUCGCCCUGUUCUUGACGAAAGUCGCUUUCAGUCGCUUCCGUCAUCGGACAUUUUCAAUUUUUACCAAGUUGAUGAAACAUUAAUGUUUUACUGAUAAUUAAAGAAAUUCAGACAUAAACUAUUCAUUAUCUUUAGAAAAGAGGUUGAAGAUUGUCUUCACAGUGUGUAUCAGGUCAUUUGAUAAAACUUCGUGCAUUUUCGCAAGUUCCGGUGCUUGUUACUCGAAAACGUACAUCAACCUAAAUUUCGGCGGCAAAAUAAGUUGUUUACUUCAUUUAAACGUGAUAAAAGUUGCCUCCAGUAAAUGUUUAAUCCAUUUAUUGCAAUAAAACCGUCAUGUUCCUUUCCAAAUAACUUGUCAAACAUCGUUUAUUUUUGUAAAUUUUCUUGCAUUCGUCCGCCAUUGACCGAUUUCUAAACUACAGAUCUGAACCGGACCAGCUAUGACCGAAAUCCGUACUUUUACAAUAAUUACUACGGACGCACGGAUGGAACAGCUGACAGAAGAAUAUUGACCCCAAAGGGAAAAAUUACGCAUCCCACACGCAUUAAGAGACUUUUGGUUACAUCUAAUUGAUUGGUGUAUAUAAUUCCCUAUAUUUUUUAUGAAUGUUUCAAACUAUUGAUUAUAAAGUUGCUGAACUCUGAGACUAUUAUACUAAUAUCAAUAUAUUAUGGCCCAGCUUAAUAACUUUUAUAUUUUUUUUUAUGAGAAACGCUGAAUUUCAUACACAAAAUAAUUUUUAAUUAAAUUGUAAUUGAUAUAAUUUCUUUACAUUUUUUAAAAUAUUUUUUUGGAAAGUUUGCUAUAGCUUGCUAUAGCAAUAAACUUUCUUAAGGCAUCGGCCUAACCAGAAAAGAGACAGCCUAACUUACUUUAGGAAGUGUGUCCUACUUCUAGAUAAUGUAGUACUGGUGUUUGAAAACUAAUAAUAGAAAGAUGCUUUUGAAAUUUUGAGCUCUUCUUUUUUAAUAGCAUACAGCUUGAAUAAAAAAUGCACUGAAUUUUCAUCGAUAAAUCAAAUAAUUCAACUUCAUUUGAAAGACGAACAAAAACUACUUCGCGGAUCUGCGCUACGCGGAAAGUAAAAUCAAUACACACACGAGACAGCAGUUUCUACGUUAUGAUUUUAUCGGUAUUCUUCAGACAUGCGUCAGAUCCAUAUAUGUGUGCCUCCAAACGGGAGUACUACAAUCCCGGUUUCAAAGUUUUCCUACCUUCCUCCGGUUGAAGAGAAAAUUAAUAGCGUGUUUAAAAUAUUUCAUGAAUGAACAUUUUUCGUCGCUUUAUACUACGAUUUUUACAAAUUUCUAUUCAAUAUGUAAAAGCCCGAGAGUAUCGGAAGUAUCAUGGUAUCUCAUCUGAUCUCGGCCCACAACAAACUCGGACUAUAAUAAACUCGGCCUUUUACAUAUUCGGCAUAAGAAAUCGGACUAUAACAAAAAUCGUAAUUAUACUAAUUGCUAUUAAGACUCCUAAACAAAGUUUUUGCUCAUUUCUUAUUAUUUUUCUCCUUGGGGUCUAUUUAGUUGUAUUUUGAGGGGCCAACAGAAGGGAGGAAUUUACUAAAGAACCCUAAGGGAUUUUUUUUUUAAUUUUCAAUAACAAUAAUAAAUUAUAAACUUGAAGAAAACAGUAAGUGACAGACACACAUGGUUUUCAGUAAUGAUCACAGGACCAUAAAACAAAUCAAAAUUAAUUAAAUUUAGGUUGAGUCCAUGGUGUCACCCCACCUAACCCCUCAUGUUUGAAUACUUAAAAAACAGUCAGAUCCCCACUCCUAAACAUUAUAUGUUCUUUAUAUGUUACAAUAAAACAAAUCAGAUGAAAUAAAAGGCGAGUCCCCUGGGGUCACUCUCACCCCCUGGUUUUUUGAGAAACUUAUUAACAGCUGAGACUUCAACCAAUAUACCAUAUAUAUUAUUGUAUGGGACAAUGAAAUAAAUCAAAUGAAAUAUAGAGGAACUCCAGAGGGGUCAGUCACCCCACCCAUAAACCAUAUGUAUUUUUGUAUGUGGCAACAAAACAAAUCAAAUGAAAUAAAGUGGGUGUCCCUAUUGGGUCAGCCCCAACCCCUCAUGUCUGGGAACUUAGAAACUGUCUAGAUCCCCACCCCUAAACCAUAUAUAUUUUUGUAGAGGGCAACAAAACAAAUCAAAUGAAAUAAAGUGGGUGUCCCUUUGGGUCAGCCCCACCCCCUCAUGUCUGAGAACUUGUAAACGGUCGAGAUCCCCACCCCUAAACCAUAUAUAUUUUUGUAUAGGGCAACAAAACAAAUUCAAUGAAAUAAAGUGGGAGUCCCUUUGGGUCAGCCCCACCCCUCAUGUCUGAGAACUUGUAAACGGUCGAGAUCCCCACCCCUAAACCAUAUAUAUUUUUGUAUAGGGCAACAAAACAAAUCAAAUGAAAUAAAGUGGGAGUCCCUUUGGGUCAGCCCCAUCCCCUCAUGUCUGAGAACUUGUAAACGGUCGAGAUCCCCACCCCUAAACCAUAUAUCUAUUUUUUGUAUAGGGCAACAAAACAAAUUCAAUGAAAUAAAGUGGGAGUCCCUUUGGGUCAGCCCCACCCCUGUUGUUUGACAACUUGGAAAUGGUCAAGAUCCCUCCCCUUAACCAUAUAUAUUCUUGUACUGGACAAUAAAACAAAUCAAAUUCAAAAGAAGGCAAGUCCCUAGGGGUCACUCCCAUCCCCUUGUUGUUUGAGAACUUGUAAACGGCUGAGAUCCACACCCACAAACCAUAUAUAUUUUUGUAUGAGAAAAUAAAAUAAAUCAAAAUGAAAUAUAGAAGAAGUCCACAGGGGUGACCCAACCAACUUUUUUUGGAAAACUUAUACGGUUGAGAUGAUCACCCCUAAACCAUAUAUAUUCUAUUUUAUGGGGCAACAAAACAAAACCAAUGAAAUAUAGUGGGAGUACCUCUGAGUCAUCCCCAACCCCUCAUGUUUGAGAACUUGUAAACGGUUGAGAUCCCCAACCCUUAAUCAUAAAUAUUCUUGUAUUGGACAAUAAAACGAAUAAAGUGAAAUAUAAUUAAGUCCCUCGGUGUAACCCCACCCCAUCCUGUUUUGAGAACUUGUAAACAGUCAAGAUCCACCCCCUUUUCGAAAACUUGAAAACUGUUGAAAUCCCCACAGUGAAACAACAUAUAUUCUUGUACGGAAUAAUAAAACAAAUCAGAUGAAAUAAAAGGCUAGUCCCCUAGGGCCACUCUUACCCUACCUCCUGCCUGUUUGAAAACUUGUAAACUGUCUAGAUCCCCACCCCCAAAUCAUGAAUAUCACUUUACUAGACCGGACCAAUUUGUAUUGGACUUUGCUUAAUGUCAGGCGACCCGUGGGAAUGACUAAUUUUGAGAGCUUUGUUUGGGAGACUUCGUAGCAGCAUCCUGUUACAAUUAUUUCUUGAUAAAGUUUUUUUCUUUUUUAAGUAGGAAAAAAAAAGGUAACCAUGCAAUCUACACACUAUCUAUUUGAAAUAUUACAAUCUACAGUUGCAAACUUUCCACGGGUGCUAUCCAGCACUUUGAUUUUUUUAGUCCUAGAUAUUUAGUUGGUAGUUUCUCACAAGAACCUUAGUAAAACUUAAACAACUUUUAAUUUCAAAUGUUACUUUAAUUGUAAUUUUUUACUCAUUAUAUGAAUUGAACAACAUAAAAAGAACAUUAUUUACAUAUGGCCCUUUAUACUAUUGUAAAAUCCAAACAUUGUAGCGCACCCGCGCGAAUGAGCACUUCUCUUUCAAAUCUCACCACUUCUCCCUAUCAAUUUCAAAAAGAGAAGUCACUUCUCCCUAUAAUUCUGAAGUAGUGUGAGCCCUGCUACAUGUAUAGGGACAUUAUUCGUAAUAAAGGGUCGAAAUUAUCGCGUUUUUCAAAUAAUGACUUUAAAACGUUUGAACAAAUUUUCAUGAAAAUUUGCUGAAAUGAUCCCUUAUGAUUUUUUAUACAAUGAAUAUUUUUAGAUUUUACUCAUUCUCUUUAUGGGAUUUUAAUAUUAUUCAAAAAAUAAUCCAUGAACUGUGCCACUGUUGGCAAUUUUUUUUAUAUUUGUACAUGUACCCCGGCACCACUUUUAGUAUUUAAAAAAGUUGGGGCAUACUGUUUUACUACUGUCUGUAUAUCCUUAGGUCAGUCGGUCCCAUGAAUAUUUUCAUAGCACUGUUUGCAGGAAUGUUACAAGGAUUUCUGAAAUUUGGCUUCAGAGUUUAUACAUGCAUGUCAGAGUCAGUUAUACUGUGUCAUGCUUUUUCAGAUUCAUUACUCAACAACUUUCUGUUAACCUUAUACUUUAAGGGUAUGGGAAUAUUAUUAGUGAGCAGUAGCUCACAGAGAUUCAGGUGUUUGUUUUAGAUUUUAUAUUUUGGAGGGGCUGGCUAUUACGGGCAGUGAUUUCAGUAUUUCUAGUUAAUCAUGAAAAUUGAUUUAAGACAUGUAUAAAGAAGAGCUAAAAUGACCACACUUGUAUAUAUGGCCAUGUCAGUCUGUCUGUUUAAGGUUACAAUCUUACAUGUAUAUCAUCAAUAUAUAUAGGGUAGGUAGGUCAGUAUUUCACUUUUACUAUUUUUUUUCUUUUCCUUUUUUGUGCAUGAUUUUGAGUUGUGCCAUGGUCUCAGUUGUCCAUGGGCCGAGUUUACCCAUAUUUUUAAUGAUUGGAUUAUUUCCCUUGGUUAUUGGUUGGAAAAAUGGGGGUGAAGUUUUUAUUUUAUGACACGAGUUGCAAGUUUCCUUAGAACAGCUGUCAUAUUCACGAUUGUGAACAUUGGGAUGUAUCAGGCAAUUGAUUAAAUUUAUUGGCAACCCUUACUUCGCUUUUGACACGAGUUUUAUAAAUUUUUCACUUAAUGACAGGAAUAAAAUAGCUUUGAGUCAGCGCUCAAAUUAGGGUCAGUCGAGUAACUGUAAACAGACAUAUACCAUGUAUACAUGUACAUGUAUUUUUUUUUUUGCCAAUUAUCACUGUGUAUCAUCGUACAGUUGAUAUAGUUACUAACCAAGCGGGCAUGAUCGUUUUUGAACUGACAUGGUAACGAAAUCUUUGUUUUGUUUUAUCAACAUUCAGUGUACAGUUUUCAACAUCUGAAAUUCCUGCUCCAAAAUAAUUUUCGCAUCGAUUUUUUCAUAUUUAUAUUAAAGACAUAUUUUAUAUUCUAAUAUAUAUAUAUAGGAACAAUUAACUUGUAAAUGCGCAAAUAGUUGUGUAUGUCAACACCAACUUUCAAUUUCCAUAUAAUUGUCGAGACAUUUACAUGUUUUACCUUAAAGAAGGCUAAUACAGGACAAAAGUAAUAGUUACCAAUCAUAAACCGACCUGUGAUUACUCAUUCCUUGAACAUUUUUGGUUAAAAAACGAGUAUGAAAAUAAUAUUUUUGUGUCGGUGUGCAGCAACUUAACUAUCAAUGACUGUGCACCAUACAGACAGAUUUAUGUGGUCAGCUAAACACCGUACACAACGCUUCUUUUCGGAAUAAAAUAUAAAAAAAAACCAUAUAUACAAACAUGUACAUGAAAAAUUUGGAACCCCCCCUUUUUUUUGGACAAUCAAUGCAUUUGAAUGGGGACAUGUAGUUGGACCCCCCCCCCCCCCCCCCCCCUUUGUCCUGGGUUAGGAACCCCCCUUUUUAAAAUGGCUGGAUCCACCCCUGGUAAGUAGUAACUAUAUCCGCUGUACUGGUGAUACAAGGUGUUCAUGGCAGAUCUCUAUUUUGUAUAAUUCUAGAAAUCCAAGAAAAAAUGGGCAUUAUACAUGUAUCUAUGAAGGAAAUCCUGCGAUCUAAUAAGGGUUGUGUGCACGUGGCAGACGUUAUUUUUUUAUUUAACAGUUAUUUGAAUCAUUAUACACAUGUUUAUGUUCCUAAUAUUUAAAAAAGUAUCUGUUUGUAAUUAAAUGAUUACCUUUUCUUUCAGCUUACCUGUUAAUUACAAGAUACACUAGUAUGCCAUUCCAGGUUUGAUGAAAUAUAAAGUGAUGGUUUGAAAUUGGAGAGUUUUAUUUUUAUACACAGGUAAAUUGUUUUAUCCUGCAAUCAGCUAACUUUUGUACAAUGAGACAACUCUCCUCAAGUGUCCAAAUGACACCAAAAUUAACAACUAUAGUUAUAGGUCACUGUAUGGCCUUCAACAAUGAGCAAAGCCCAUUCUGCAUAUUCAGCUACAAAAGGCCCCUAAAUUGCAAAUGUAUUUUUUAGCAAUUCAAAGGAGAAAACUAACAGUCUAAUAUGUAACACAGCAACAUAGACAACCACUGAAUAACAGGCACAUGCAUACAGAAUGUGGAGGGGUUAAUAGUCUAUAGAUAUAGGAAGAUGUGGUGUGAGUGCCAAUGAGACAACUCUCCAUCCAAAUAACAAUUUAUAAAAGUUAACCAUUAUAUGUCAACGUACGGCCUUCAACAAGGAACCUUGGCUCACACGAACUUAAAGCUAUAAAGGGCCCCAGAAUUACUAGUGUAAAACCAUUCUUACGGUAAAACCAAGUCCAACAGUCUAAUCUAUAUAAAAAAACCAAGAAACACAUAUAAAUUACAUAAACAAAAAAAAAACUGUAUAUGCUAGUGAGUGUUUUUUAUGCCCCAUUUAGGGCAUUAUGUUUUCUGGUCUGUGCGUCCGUCUGUUCGUUCGUCCGUCCGUCGUCUGUCCCGCUUCAGGUUAAAGUUUUUGGUCGAGGUAGUUUUUGAUGAAGUUGAAGUCUAAUCAACUUGAAACUUAGUAUAUAUGUUCUGUAUGAUAUGAUCUUUCUAAUUUUAAUUCCAAAUUGAUUUAACCCAUUUUCAUGGUCCACUGAACAUAGAAAAUGAUAGUGCGGAUGGGCAUCGUGUACUGGGACACAUUCUUGUUUAAUUUGUGCAAAUAAAUUUCUGUUUUCUUACAUUGUAAGAAUAUUAAUGUACAUGUAUGAUGUAUAUUCAGAAGUUAUUGUAAUGUUUUUUAUAUAGCAAAUUUGCAUUUUGAAUAUUGCAAUAAUGGAACUCACAUUCUGAUCUCAAUAAAUAUAACUCAUUUUAUUUUUAAAGUUUUAUCAAAGUAGUGCACCUUAUUAAAAUGUGUGUGAAAAAAUUACAUCCUUGUUCAAAUGUUUAAUGAAAUUUCUCGCUACAUUGAAGACCCAUUGGUGGCCUUCGGCUGUUGUCUGCUCUAUUGUCGGGUUGUUGUUGUUUUAACACAUCCCCAUUUCCUUUCUCAAUUUUAUUAUUCAUGUUAUUAAAUAAAGACCAGGGAAUUAUGUUGUUUGCAUUUUAACAGUAACUUCUUGAAGAAAUAUGUUUGCACUUACUUUUUAAUACUUUAAUCAUAAAUAUCAUGUUAAACAUUUCAUUUAAAUAUAUAUACAUGUACAUUAUAUUUGCAUUUUCAUAUUUCAGCAAUGAUGAUCACCUGUACCGAGACAGCAGAAGAAAGUUACUUAUUUAUAACUCAUCAUGACCAUUUAAUACCGAAAAUCUGAUUAAAAUUUGUUUGGAAAGCCACCAAAUAUUUCAAUGAAAAGAAGAAAAAAAGACAGCAAUUCUAUAUCAUGUAUAUCAUGUACUAAGCAGAAGCAUUUGCUGUUUCAAGACCCAGUUGAAUUGGAGUUUAGUGUUUUGAUGCAGUGAGACAGAGGAAUAUUUAAGUGAACAGUUUAGCUUCUUUUUCAUCAUCGUGAUCAUUAAAGUUGAUGUUUACCAUCGGAGAGAGCUUUUUCCUCAGUUGAAAUGAAUUCUAAAUACAGGCAGUUUGGAGACUUUGUAUAUUUCUUUCUUACAAUUGGAGUUCUAAAAAGGAUUACAUUUAAAAAAAAAAUGUGUUGCAACAGUUUCAUGGAUUUAAUUUGUGGUCUCUUUCGUGAAAUAUUUGAAAAAUAUGCAAUAUCUAACCAAGUAGUUUAUUAGAGAUCUACAGAUGAACAUAUGACAUGUAUGACAUUCAGAUGAAUUUGAAAGAAGGAAAUAUAUUUAUUUAUAAGACUUUAAUAUGAGUGUUUAGUUAUUUUUUGGCAAUUACAGGCAUGACAGGGAGUAAUUAUAAGAUAAAGUUAUUUGAUUUAAACAUAAAUCCUACCUACAGAUAUACAUGCGAUAUACAUAUAUGCAUGUAGGCAUACAAUUCACUGACACACCACUAAUUUGAGUUACAUGUACAUGUAAUGAUAAAAGUAAGAAUAUGACAUAUAAAAAAAAAUUGAUUCACUCAGAUUGCCAAUGAAACAACUCUCCAUCAGGGAAAAAAUAGUUGUUUAUAUACAUGUAUUGGCCACCUGCAGAGACAUGAGAGAACAAGAAAAUCAUAUUUUAUCAUGAUUUAUAAUUUUUCUAUUUCAUUUCAUAUAAACACUGAAUACAGGCCUACAUUUGUAGGUGUACAAAAAGUUCAAAAGCAUAAAACAGUGUUGUAAUCAUGCAGUUGUUGUUCAUCUGAAAGUCGUAUGAUAUUGAUGUUGGGCUUCAAUAAUGAGCAAAACAUCUGUAUAACAGCCACAUAAUGGUUAAUUUUGAACAAAAUAAUUAUGGGUAUUUCCAUUUUGUACAUGCAUGUAUAUAUGUAUUGUACAUGAAGAUGUGUAUCUCAUGUACAUACAUGUAGCUUGUUUAUACUUGGAAAUCAGAAAAUGCAAUGUUUUCAUUUCUUGUUCUUGUCUAAACUAAAAUUGGUUAUUUAUAUAAUGACAUAAAUUAAUGACAUGAUAAUUGUAAAUGUUUGGCAUAAAAAAAUAUAAAUUUAUUUAAAUGAUGGUAUUACAAUGCAUUAUUUGUAUCCAGGAUUUUCUGUAACUGCAAUAAUAAAU